rnacentral:rRNA from 1 species
AGUCGAACGGUAGCACAGAAGAGCUUGCUCUUCGGGUGACGAGUGGCGGACGGGUGAGUAAUGUCUGGGGAUCUGCCCGAUAGAGGGGGAUAACCACUGGAAACGGUGGCUAAUACCGCAUAACGUCGCAAGACCAAAGAGGGGGACCUUCGGGCCUCUCACUAUCGGAUGAACCCAGAUGGGAUUAGCUAGUAGGUGGGGUAACGGCUCACCUAGGCGACGAUCCCUAGCUGGUCUGAGAGGAUGACCAGCCACACUGGAACUGAGACACGGUCCAGACUCCUACGGGAGGCAGCAGUGGGGAAUAUUGCACAAUGGGCGCAAGCCUGAUGCAGCCAUGCCGCGUGUAUGAAGAAGGCCUUCGGGUUGUAAAGUACUUUCAGCGGGGAGGAAGGGAGCGAGGUUAAUAACCUCGUUCAUUGACGUUACCCGCAGAAGAAGCACCGGCUAACUCCGUGCCAGCAGCCGCGGUAAUACGGAGGGUGCAAGCGUUAAUCGGAAUUACUGGGCGUAAAGCGCACGCAGGCGGUCUGCUAAGUCAGAUGUGAAAUCCCCGGGCUUAACCUGGGAACUGCAUUUGAAACUGGCAGGCUAGAGUCUUGUAGAGGGGGGUAGAAUUCCAGGUGUAGCGGUGAAAUGCGUAGAGAUCUGGAGGAAUACCGGUGGCGAAGGCGGCCCCCUGGACAAAGACUGACGCUC